GUAGGAGGUGGGCUUCAAGAUGGCUGACUAGAGGCAUCCAGCAUUCACCUCCUCCACAAAGAAGAAAUAAAACAAACACAUAUUGUUUAAUUGAGUCUACUUUACUACUUGGUUCACCUUUGCCUUGUGAGUUCCUUGGGAGGAGAGAGCACUAUAUUUUUUGAACAGAUGCUUCAUUAUGGGAGAUGAAGAAAACUCCAGGAUCUAAAAUUGCUAUAAUCUUCUAAUAGUGUCAUAGUUCAAGGACUUACAGGUAUCGUACCUGGUACAUGUUCAGUACAGCAUAAGGCCCUAUAAACACUUCAAUAGGCUUCAAGACUGUAAGAAAGAAGAGCAAAUUCUGUAACAUCAACAGACACACAAUCCUUUCAAGAAUAAGGAAAAAUGCUUCAAAUGAAAUCCCACUUUCUUCUUCACCUAGGAAGACUGCACAGGUGAGACCUAACACUCCA